rnacentral:rRNA from 1 species
AUUGAACGCUGGCGGCAGGCCUAACACAUGCAAGUCGAACGAGUGGCGGACGGGUGAGUAAUGUCUGGGAAACUGCCUGAUGGAGGGGGAUAACUACUGGAAACGGUAGCUAAUACCGCAUACCAUCGGAUGUGCCCAGAUGGGAUUAGGUAGUAGGUGGGGUAACGGCUUUCCACGGCGACGAUCCCUAGCUGGUCUGUGAGGAUGACCAGGCACACUGGAACGGAGACACGGUCCAGACUCCUACGGGAGGCAGCAGUGGGGAAUAUUGGACAAUGGGCGCAAGCCUGAUGCAGCCAUGCCGCGUGUAUGAAGAAGGCCUUCGGGUUGUAAAGUACUUUCAGCAGGGAGGCGUUACCCGCAGAAGAAGCACCGGCUAACUCCGUGCCAGCAGCCGCGGUAAUUC